rnacentral:rRNA from 1 species
GGCGGCGUGCCUAAUACAUGCAAGUCGAGCGGACUUACAAAAGCUUGCUUUUGUAAGUUAGCGGCGGACGGGUGAGUAACACGUGGGCAACCUGCCCUNGAGACUGGGAUAACUUCGGGAAACCGGAGCUAAUACCGGAUAAUAUAAGGAACCUCCUGGUUCCUUNUUGAAAGAUGGUUUCGGCUAUCACUUNAGGAUGGGCCCGCGGCGCAUUAGCUAGUUGGUGAGGUAACGGCUCACCAAGGCGACGAUGCGUAGCCGACCUGAGAGGGUGAUCGGCCACACUGGGACUGAGACACGGCCCAGACUCCUACGGGAGGCAGCAGUAGGGAAUCUUCCACAAUGGACGAAAGUCUGAUGGAGCAACGCCGCGUGAGUGAUGAAGGCCUUCGGGUCGUAAAGCUCUGUUGUUAGGGAAGAACAAGUGCGAGAGUAACUGCUCGCACCUUGACGGUACCUAACCAGAAAGCCACGGCUAACUACGUGCCAGCAGCCGCGGUAAUACGUAGGUGGCAAGCGUUAUCCGGAAUUAUUGGGCGUAAAGCGCGCGCAGGUGGUUUCUUAAGUCUGAUGUGAAAGCCCACGGCUCAACCGUGGAGGGUCAUUGGAAACUGGGGGAACUUGAGUGCAGAAGAGGAAAGUGGAAUUCCAAGUGUAGCGGUGAAAUGCGUAGAGAUUUGGAGGAACACCAGUGGCGAAGGCGACUUUCUGGUCUGUAAC